rnacentral:lncRNA from 1 species
AGGCAAGGCCAAGGCUUCUUGAAAGGCUGGUCAUGCCCCAGUGAUCAAUGAAGAACUCAGGGAUAUCCCAAAACUCAGGACUAUAAGGUUCAUUUGCCCGAUGUGCAGUGAGUCAAUAAACUGAGACACUUGGGAUACAGCAGAGACAGAGUUUAAUACCUGUAGGGCAGCUGAAUGAGGAGACCAGAGGAAACUUCAACUAUGUCUCCCCAAGAGUUUUGGGGUUGUUUUUAAGAGGCACAAUGGGGGAGCAGGUACCAGGUGGCCAGCAUCCUAAAUGACUCUCAGCAGCUGCAGAGAAGAAAGAGGCAUUACCAUAUCAAAGCCUUUAGCCUUCUUGCAUCACGACAAAAAUUCGAACUUGGUGUUUGAAGAACAUGAAAAAUGAGGAGGAAUAAAAUAAUCAUGAGUCUCCUGGUCAUUAACUGCAUGAAGUUGAGCUGGUCACUUAAGCCAUUCCUAAUAUGUAACUUGAGAGUAUAGUAUUAGAUAUUCAGUAAAUUCCCUUCAAAAUUCA